GUUUGUUGUGUUUUAUUUUUAAGCAAAAUAGAACAACAGACAAAACUCUUCAUGAGGAAACAGAGAGUGGGCCACAACUUCACGCAGGGGUUAAUACGGAAAGUUGCACCAAACGUUUUCUCAUGAGCUAGAAGCUCCAAAAGUGAGAGAUAAUGUAACUGCUGAUAGUUGAUAUGGCAGCAAAAAUAAACUUUAUACAGAAGCCCAGGUAUUAUUUAACUAUGCUUUCUAUUUGCUGGGGGAUUUAAAUGGUGUUUGAGCCCAAGAAAGGAAAAAUAACAUCUAAAGCUUAUUCUCCAGGAAGAAAACAGGAAUCUCACACAUGGGCAUACCUGAGGCCUUAUUUGAUUAAAAAAAAAAAAAAAAAAGAGGAAACCUGACACCUUCCUAAAAAAAGAGGGCAGUGGGGAUUUUUAUAUCAGACAGGUAUAAAACAGACAGCUAAAUGGAUAAAGAGAUUGAAAUAAAGCACUGACAUUGAAAAAUGACAACAAAUCUAAUUUUAGAUGAAUAUAGUAUCCUAAGGUCAAUAUAGAAUUUUUCUGAGUAUAAGAAUAAUUCUGGUUAACAAAGCUGACCAUGUGCAUAACUAAAAGAACCAGGCAUAUUAAAACACAUGGAACGCUUCCUACAUUACAUCUGGAGUAUCUCUGACUGUCAUAUUCAACAAGGUAUUGUACACAUUCAGAGGACAAAGCACCGUGCUAGAUAGUACAGGAAAUCUACUAAAAUAUUCUGUCCUCCUAUAAACACACACAAAAUAACAUGGGCACAAAGCAUCCCAAAAUUCAUGCCAAAUAAAACAGAGAGUGAAUACCUGGGCAGAAGUAUAAAGAAAAACAUCCUGGAGGAGGUGAAGGUCAAUAUGGUCUAAUGGGACGUGGAUAUUAGACGUUGAGAUGGACUAAGGGAAGCAUUUCUGGGAAACUAGAUGUAUACACUAGAUGUACAUAUGUAGGAGCAGAGGCAGGCACAUAUGGAGCUUGGAGAAUAGCAAUCAGUUUAGUUUAAUGAGUCAUUUAGGAGGAAUGACUCAAGCAAUAACCAGUGAUAAAACGUAAAAAAAAAAAGUCUCAAAUUCCAUCAGAGAGAGCCUGAAUGAACAGUAUUUUGCAGCUCCAUCUCCCUCAGGUCCACAGGCCAUAAUCGCUGCCCAGAGUAGCUUAAGUGUCACUUGCCCUGGUUCUUUCUCACCAACUCCCUACUCAUACCCCUUUCUACUGCACUUGUGGAACUGCUCUCCAAUUCCCAAGAAGCUUAUGUACAGGGUGGGGAAAAAGUAGGUUUACAAUUGUUCAUAUGGAAAAUAAUACAAUAAUAAAAGAAUAAACUAAGUGUUUCAUGUACUCACAACUGUAAACCUACUUUGCCCAACCCUGUAAUUGUGUCUUUCUCAAUUAUGCCAUCUCCAUCAUAAACAUCUGCAAUGGAGUCUGUUCUUUUUCCCUUUGCCUCUGCACAUCAGGAAAGGGAACAAUGUGAGCAUUUUCCUGAAUCCUUUCUGCAUCGUCCAAACUACCUUAUUACCCUAGUUCAUUACAACCAUGCCCUUUCCUCCAUAGGUCUCACCAUGUAGGUGAACCCCAAUUCACUUUCUACAAACUAAGGAAUUUGACAUCUGACUAUUAGUAAACUUACUCUUCCUUAAUUGCUACAAAUUUCAAUGUCAGUAUUGGUGGAUCAUCCUACUUAGUUCAUGGCCUCUUAAGCUGUCUUCCAUCACCAGAGUACCUUGUCAUUGCCUGAAACAUCACCACAUCAGAAAGAUAAAACUUUAACACCCCAUCCUCUGAUUAUAACAUCCCCUCUCUGUGCAUCUGACUCCUCACAUAAAUAUCCUAGCCUCAUUUACUUGCCAUCCGCCAUAGACUACCUGAUGAACCACCUGAGCUACACUUUCACCUACAAUCUCAAUCAUUUUUUAUCCUUAAUCUUCCAGUUUAUAUGGUUCAUAAAACUACCAACUUGGAAUUAUUAUAAUAAUACCAUUUCUACUCCCAUGAGGGUUCUAAAGAAAAUACACCCUUCAAAAUUAUUCCAUUAUUAAUUACAGACUAUCUUCUCUUAUGAUUAGUUUUCUAAAUUUCUGUAAGCAAACCUGAAAUAAAUGAUCAGAAUUUGAAAAUGUGAGGCCUUUAUAUUGAAUAAAAAUGUCAGCCACUGUAACAGACUCUUGUCAGUUACUUCCCACCAUCCAUCUCAUACUUCUUGUACAGUUUAGCAGUCCUGGUGACUAGAUGGGAUCAAUUCCCAUAAGCUAACUAUAGGAGUGGGCCCUAAAUGACCUAAAACAAUAAGCAAAAUCUCACAACCUUACUACUGUGAUUGGCAAUAACUCAAGUUCAAACCACUCAGAGGCUGGAAUUACUUUAAUCAUAGGAACUGCUAAGGAGACUGGCUCAAAGCUGGUCCAGAGUGAAGUACGGGAGUCUCUUAGUCCACAGAAAGAAGAAAAUGCCUUUUUGUAUUUCCUUUUGCAAAAACCAAGAGUAUUGUUAUAUAUAGUAAUGAACAGUUUCAAAAUAACACAAAAAUGAACUAAAAAUACAAAAUGUAUGUAGGAUUUGUAUUCUAGAACCUACAUGACACAGAAAAGAAAUGAAAGUAGAUCGAACUAAAUAGAGAGGCUUACACAAUGUUCUUGGAUUAAAGGACUUAACACAGUAAAGAGGUCAAUUCUCAAAUUGAUCUAUACACUUAACAAAAUUCCAGUCAAAACCCAGUGGGAUUUUGUAGAUAUUGACAGACUGAUUCUAAAAUAUAUAAUAAGGCAAGGGAAUGAGAAUAGAAAACAAUUUUGAGCAAGAACAAGCUGGAGAACUGCUCUUUGAUUUCAGGACUUACUACAAAGCUACAGUAAUGAAGAUAGUGUGGCAUUGACGAAUGGAUAGAUAUUCAGAUCAAUGGAACACAGAGAGUCCAGAAAUACAGCUGCACAGAUAUAAAAAACUUAUUUUUUAACAAAGGCUCAAAAUGAACAGAGAAAUGAUAGUCUUUUCAACAAAUGAUGUUACAAUAGUUGAAUAUCUAUAUGCUGAAAAGAGAAAAAGAAAAAGAAAAGAAACCUAGACCUAAACUUUAUACCUUUAACAAAAAUCAAAUCAAAAUUAGUAAUAGAACUAAAUACAAAUGAAAAGCUUAAAACCUUUUUUAAAAAACCCAUUGGAUAAUAUCUUCAUGAUCUGGGGUUAGAUAAUGACAUCUUUGAUGAGAUACCAAAGAACAAUCCAUAAAAGAAAAACUUUCUAAAUUACAGCUUAUUAAAAUUAAAAACUUUUACUCUAUAAAAUACAGUUAAGAGAAUAAAAAGAUAAGUCACACUCUGGGAGAAAAUAUCUGCAAAUUACAUCAGACAAAGAAUUUAUACAUAGAAUAUAUCAAUAACUAUGAAUACUCAACAAGAAAACAAACAAUCGAAUUUAAAUAUCAGCAAAGGACUUAGACAGGUCACUAGUCAGGACCUACACAUGGCAAAUUACAUGAUAAGCUCCUUAACAUCCAGCAACAUAAGAAAAAUGUAGAUUAAAAACAAAAUGAGAUAUCACUAGAUGCCUACUAGAAUGGCUAAAAUAAAUAUGGACAAUACUAAGUGGAGGUGAGAAUGAAGAGCAAACAAAACCCCCAGGCACUGGUGGGAUGGGAAAUGGUACAGCCACUCUGGAAAAUUAUUUGGAAACUUCUUAUAACAUUAAACAUAUACUUACCAUAUGACUCAGCAAUCACUUUCCUACACACAAGAGAAAUGAAAGCUUCAUGUUUACACAAAAACCUGUAUGUGAAUGUUUCAUUCAUAAUGACUCAAAAUGGAAAACAAGCCAAAUAGCAUUCAGUGAGUGAACAAACUAUAGUACAUCCACACUGUGGACUACACUAAUCAAUAAAAAGGAACUACUAGUAUGUAUCAAAGUUGGCUGAAGCUCAAAGGCAUUAUGAUAAGUGAAAGCAGGUGGUCUCAAGAGAAUGCUUCCAUUUUUAUGACAUUCUCAAAAAGCCAAACUAUAGUGACAGAGAAUAGAUCAGUAGUCACAAGGUGUUAGUGAUGAGGGAGGGAGUAACUAUCAUGAAAUAGCAAAAGGCAUCUUUUUGGAGGAAUGAAGCUAACUGCUCUAUAUCUUGAUUGUGGUGCAGUUUUCAUAACCUGUGCAAGGGGCAAAACUGCUGGAACUGUACACCCAGAAAGUCUGUUUUACAUAUGUUAGCCAACAUUUUUAAUAGAAUGCCCUUACUGAUAUCCAGACAGUGACAGUUGUGUUUGCUCCUGCCUCCAUCCUACUUUAAAGUGAAAAUAUCCAUGACAGAAGAUAACUGCACACUGAAUAGCACAUUUAUUUCCAUUAUCUGUGAACAUGCUGCCUCUUUCUAGCAGAAUGAUAAGCGCCAAAGGCUGAUGGGAGAUGGGGUUAUAGUACAAAGUCCCAGAGACACAGCUAGUCAUUUGAAUGUUUUAUUUCUUGAGCAUUCAAAAGAAAAAAAAAAGAAAGUAAUAAUGUAUUUUUCUGAUUCUUUAUAGUUACAUGAGAAGUAAAUGUAAAAGUGUAUUUUAGCUUAGUAUCUAGAAAAACACAGUUUAGCAACUAAAUAACAAAUUUGCUAAACAAAAAGAUGUAAAAUAUCAUCUUUUAUAUUUGUCAUUUACACUCAAAUCUCAAUGAUCUACACAGCAGAUUAACAUUCAUCAAUAAAUGCUAA